UGCAGUUUCUUUUCGCUCCUCACUUC
rnacentral:piRNA from 1 species